rnacentral:rRNA from 1 species
AAAGGAAUAGACGGGGGCCCGCACAAGCAGUGGAUCAUGUGGUUUAAUUCGACGAUACCCGAAAAACCUUACCAGAACUUGACAUCUGGGGAAUCCUGUAGAAGUACGGGAGUGCCCGCAAGGGAACCCCAAGACAGGUGGUGCAUGGUUGUCGUCAGCUCGUGUCGUGAGAUGUUAGGUUAAGUCCUGCAACGAGCGCAACCCUCGUGUUGUGUUGCUACAUUUAGUUGAGCACUCUCAACAGACUGCCCGUGGUAAACGGGAGGAAGGUGGGGAUGACGUCAAAUCAUCAUGCCCUUUAUGUUCUGGGCUACACACAUGAUACAAUGGCAAGUACAAAGGGAAGCCAAACCGCAAGGCGGAGCAAAUCUCAAAAAACUUGCCCCAGUUCAGAUUGCAGGCUGCAACUCGCCUGCAUGAAGAUGGAAUUGCUAGUAAACGCAGAUCAGCAUGCUGCGUUGAAUACGUUCCCGGGCCUUGUACACACCGCCCGU